GAUUGCGGCCAUACCAUACUGACAACGCCCGAUCUCGUCUGAUCUCGGAAGCUAAGCAGAGUUGGCCUGGGUCAGUACUUGGAUGGGUGACCGCCUGGGAAUACCCCGUGCCGUAAGCA
ensembl:rRNA 5S_rRNA 5S ribosomal RNA